rnacentral:rRNA from 1 species
GACAUUUGGUAGAGACUGUUGAAGCCACCUGGUCCCAGCAGACUCCGGAAGGCAGACACAUUCGCUGGUGCUGGGGCAAGGUUGUUGGGGGUGAAGCCUGGUGCCAGAUGUGU